GACGAACGCUGGCGGCGUGCUUAACACAUGCAAGUCGAGCGGGAUCCAACCGGUGGCAACACCGGGGAAGAUCUAGCGGCGAACGGGUGAGUAACACGUGAGCAACCUGCCCCGAAGACUGGGAUAACACCGGGAAACCGGUGCUAAUACCGGAUGUCGUCAUUAGGCCGCAUGACCUGAUGAUGAAAGGAUUCAUCGCUUCGGGAGGGGCUCGCGGGCUAUCAGCUGUUGGUGGGGUAACGGCCUACCAAGGCGACGACGGCUAGCUGGUCUGAGAGGACGACCAGCCACACUGGGACUGAGACACGGCCCAGACUCCUACGGGGACGGCCG
rnacentral:rRNA from 1 species